GAUGAAGAACGUAGCGAAAUGCGAUAAGUAAUGUGAAUUGCAGAAUUCAGUGAAUCAUCGAAUCUUUGAACGCACAUUGCGCCCGCUAGUAUUCUGGCGGGCAUGCCUGUUCGAGCGUCAUUUCAACCAUCAAGCCCUGUUUAGGCUUAUGUUGGGGCCCUGCGGCUGCCGCAGCCCCCUAAAUGCAGUGGCGGGCUCGUUGUCACUCCGAGCGCAGUAGCGUAUCUCGCUCUGGGCGUGGCGGCGGGUGCUAGCCGUGAAACACCCACUAAGGUUGACCUCGGAUCAGGUAGGAAUACCCGCUGAACUUAAGCAUAUCAAUAAGCGGAGGA
rnacentral:misc_RNA from 1 species